GACGAACGCUGGCGGCGUGCUUAACACAUGCAAGUCGUACGGUAAGGCCCUUUCGGGGGUACACGAGUGGCGAACGGGUGAGUAACACGUGAGUAACCUGCCCACAACUUUGGGAUAACGCUAGGAAACUGGUGCUAAUACUGGAUAUGUGCUCCUGCUGCAUGGUGGGGGUUGGAAAGCUCCGGCGGUUGUGGAUGGACUCGCGGCCUAUCAGCUUGUUGGUGGGGUAGUGGCCUACCAAGGCGGCUACGGGUAGCCGGCCUGAGAGGGUGACCGGCCACAUUGGGACUGAGAUACGGCCCAGACUCCUACGGGAGGCAGCAGUGGGGAAUAUUGCACAAUGGGCGCAAGCCUGAUGCAGCAACGCCGCGUGCGGGAUGACGGCCUUCGGGUUGUAAACCGCUUUCAGCAGGGACGAAGCUUUUUGUGACGGUACCUGCAGAAGAAGCACCGGCUAACUACGUG
rnacentral:rRNA from 1 species